UAAAAUGUUACCAUAACAAUACGCUUCCUUCUUCGAUCCAUCCUGCUUUGUUAUGUUCUUCGCUGUGAAACAGGCACGUGUAUGAUAACACAUUAAUUUGAUAUCAGACUGAAGCUCAUUGUAAAAAUAAAGACGGCUUCGAAAUGAUUGUUUAGUUGAAGCUAGAUAUUAAUAAGCUUCAAGACGCCAUAUUGGUAGGACCCAUGUCGGGCAGUCAGCAACAGAGUAACGUAAGUAGGCCUAUUAAAAGGGGCACACAGUGUUGUGCCUAUGGCUGUACCAAACGAAAGAAAAGCAGGCAGGAUCAGCUUGACGGCAGAAGUGAUAGCGAAGGCAGCGAAGACGAAGAGUCGGCCUUAAAGAGAUGUCAUCCAAGAACAUUUCAUGCUUUCCCAAUUGAUCCAGACAGAAGGAAAUCCUGGCUUGUUCAUCUCCAUCGUCAAAAAUGGAAGCCUAGUUCACAUUCUCGUGUCUGCUCUGACCAUUUUAUAGAAAGUGAUAUCGAUAGAACUGGCCAGGUUGUCCGGCUACGUACUGAAGCUAUUCCAACACGACUUAAAAACCUUCCAAAACAUUUGAGAAAGGCAACAAAAUCAAGGGAACCACCAUGUUUGAAAGUCAGUGAAAAGAAGGAUGUUCA